rnacentral:rRNA from 1 species
GACGGGGGAUGCAAGUGUUAUCCGGAAUAAUUGGGCGUAAAGCGUCUGUAGGUGGUUUACCAAGUCUGUUGUUAAAAAUCAGGGCUUAACCCUGAUCCGGCAACAGAAACUAGUAGGCUGGAGUACGGUAGGGGCAGAGGGAAUUCUCGGUGUAGUGGUGAAAUACGUAGAUAUCGAGAAGAACACCAAUAGCGAAAGCACUCUGCUGGG